rnacentral:rRNA from 1 species
ACGGGAGGCAGCAGUGGGGAAUAUUGCACAAUGGGCGAAAGCCUGAUGCAGCGACGCCGCGUGAACGAAGAAGUAUUUCGGUAUGUAAAGUUCUAUCAGCAGGGAAGAUAAUGACGGUACCUGACUAAGAAGCACCGGCUAAAUACGUGCCAGCAGCCGCGGUAAUACGUAUGGUGCAAGCGUUAUCCGGAUUUACUGGGUGUAAAGGGAGCGCAGGCGGUCUAGCAAGUCUGAAGUGAAAUCCCGGGGCUCAACCCCGGAACUGCUUUGGAAACUGUUGGACUAGAGUGUCGGAGGGGUAAGCGGAAUUCCUAGUGUAGCGGUGAAAUGCGUAGAUAUUAGGAGGAACACCAGUGGCGAAGGCGGCUUACUGGACAAUAACUGACGCUGAGGCUCGAAAGCGUGGGGAGCAAACAGGAUUAGAUACCCUGGUA